AUAUGCUGUGUGUGGAUUUGUUAUGCCCAGAUCACGAUCUCCCCAAAAUCUCAAGACCACUAAGGAGUCCGAGUCACUUAUGCAAAGGCAAAGGGCUUUAUUACAGGCUUAAGCUCGGGCUCCCAGACCUCACCAACGCAAUGGA